GCCUGUUCGAGCGUCAUGACUAAAUCAAACCUCCGGUUUGGUGUUGGGCUCCGCCUCCCGGCGGGCCUAAAAAGCCUGUGGUGGCCUCCACAUGUGGCAUAAGCGCAGUGAUAUUUCACGCUUUUAACGCCAAGUGGCUGCCGUCAGCACAACUUCUCAAGGUUGACCUCGGAUCAGGUAGGGAUACCCGCUGAACUUAA
rnacentral:misc_RNA from 1 species